CUUAUAUUUUGACAGUUGAUAAUGUUACUCUUUCUUACUAACGAUGCAGUAAGUUUAGUGAAAGAGAAAGCUCAUAUCGGUGUGUAAACGUCAAAAGCCUGUAAUGUUAUGUCCGACCUAGUAGAACAUAACAAAGGAAUCGGUCUGCAUAUUUCACGUUUGAAAAGUGCUAAUAAAAGUGUUUAGUGAACGUUAAAUGCAAUAUCUUGUUGGGUUUUGUGGUUCUGCUAAAUAAUAAACCAUAAAAACGGCCAAGGAAUGCCUCAAUCACGUGGAUUUAACAUAACAUACGAUUUGAAAAUGCUUCAAAAUAGACGACGAACAGAAAUAUUUAGACGCAAGUUUCAUGCAAGUUUUUAAUCCUUACUCCCUUAUGAAGGCAUCACAAUAUUGGGAUUAUCAAUUCAAACGUAAGUUUGAAACAAUGAUUUUAUUGAAAUAAAAAAGUUCUAACGGAGAGUAAAAUGAUCAACAGCUCUUACACCUUCCCCCUGUUUUUGGAAUGCUUCUAAAGAAAAGUUCAAUAUGAUGGUGAUGACGGAGAGACCUAUAAUGAAGAUAAUAUUAUUUUUAA